CAGGUUGAUUCUGCCUGACGUGGAUGCUAUUCUCUGGGGCUAAGCCAUGCAUGCUUGUGAACUCUUUGUGGGGGAUUAGCGGACGGCUCAGUGAUAGCACGAUGAUUUGUUUGCGGGAUGAGCAGUAGCUGCGGGAAACUGCAGAUAGUGGUCUGCCCCUGUGGGGGUUGGCAAGUAAGUUGUGGGCCUAUCAGCUGGUAGUUAGGGUAAUGGCCUAACUAGGCGCAGACGGGAUACGGGGGAUCAGGGUUUGGUUCCGGAGAGGGAGCCUGGAGAGAUGG
rnacentral:rRNA from 1 species